rnacentral:rRNA from 1 species
GCAUAAGAUCCCAUUAAAUGCAUUAGAUCCCAUUAGAACUUCAUAGUUAAGUGCACUUAGGCUAGAGUAGUACUGGGAUGGGUGACUGCCUGAGAAGUCCUAGUGUUUUACAUGCC